ACGAACGCUGGCGGCAUGCCUAACACAUGCAAGUCGAACGAGACCUUCGGGUCUAGUGGCGCACGGGUGCGUAACGCGUGGGAACCUGCCCUUAGGUUCGGAAUAACUCCCCGAAGGGGGUGCUAAUACCGGAUAAUGUCUUCGGACCAAAGAUUUAUCGCCUUUGGAUGGGCCCGCGUUGGAUUAGCUAGUUGGUAGGGUAAAAGCCUACCAAGGCGACGAUCCAUAGCUGGUCUGAGAGGAUGAUCAGCCACACUGGGACUGAGACACGGCCCAGACUCCUACGGGAAGCAGCAGUGGGGAAUAUUGGACAAUGGGCGAAAGCCUGAUCCAGCAAUGCCGCGUGAGUGAUGAAGGCCUUAGGGUUGUAAAGCUCUUUUACCCGGGAUGAUAAUGACAGUACCGGGAGAAUAAGCUCCGGCUAACUCCGUG
rnacentral:rRNA from 1 species